CCCACAGUAUCCUAAUCUAAUCAUCCUCAGUCAACAGCCACAAGCACAAUUCAUAUGUCCUCAUACUAAAUAUUAACAUUGUUUCCUCUUAUUAAAUUUUGUAUUUACUAUAAUUUUGUCGAUACACAAACGAGAAUUAUCAUGAGGCCCACAAGAAUUGUCGAUAAAAUAUUUCUAGAACCAGAAGAGAUUAAUGACAUACAAAUGGCCUCUGAUGAUGAGACUGAAGUAGAUCUUAUAAAGAAAUACUAUGAACGACAACAGCAUGAACCCUUUUAUAAUGAUUUUAAUGAUCUUAAUGAUGAUGAAGAUUUUUAACAUACAAGGUUCAAAUCAUGAAAAAACAAUUCACAAAUUACUUGAUUCACACUACUAAAUGAUGCUAGUAUAUUUGUGAAACAGUUUUUUAUUUAUUUUUGUUCCAAAUAACUAUUUUUACACAUUACUAUGUAUUUUUUCAUAUUUGAGUAAUAAACAUAUUUAGAUAUGUA